CCUACGGGAGGCAGCAGUGAGGAAUAUUGGACAAUGGGCGCAAGCCUGAUCCAGCCAUGCCGCGUGCAGGAUGACGGUCCUAUGGAUUGUAAACUGCUUUUGUACAGGAAGAAACACUGGUUCGUGAACCAGCUUGACGGUACUGUAAGAAUAAGGAUCGGCUAACUCCGUGCCAGCAGCCGCGGUAAUACGGAGGAUCCAAGCGUUAUCCGGAAUCAUUGGGUUUAAAGGGUCCGUAGGCGGUUUAAUAAGUCAGUGGUGAAAGCCCAUCGCUCAACGGUGGAACGGCCAUUGAUACUGUUAGACUUGAAUUAUUAGGAAGUAACUAGAAUAUGUAGUGUAGCGGUGAAAUGCUUAGAGAUUACAUGGAAUACCAAUUGCGAAGGCAGGUUACUACUAAUUGAUUGACGCUGAUGGACGAAAGCGUGGGUAGCGAACAGGAUUAGAUACCCUGGUAGUCCACGCCGUAAACGAUGGAUACUAGCUGUUGGAAGCAAUUUCAGUGGCUAAGCGAAAGUGAUAAGUAUCCACCUGGGGAGCNCGUUCGCAAGAAGAGAAGUAAGUAAGUAGAGCGNGAGAGAGACGACGACGACGACGAGGGAGGAGG
rnacentral:rRNA from 1 species